AAACAGUUUUUUGGUGCUCUUUUUCCCCUGCUAUCUACACAGACGCCAUAGAAGUGUAAACAUUGAAGCCAUCAUGAAUCUAAUUGAGCAUCAAAGCAUUAUGGCAAUCACAUUAACCAUGGUGAGCCUUAUGCUGGAGUAUAUCUAGUGUGUAUUCAGGGUUUGCUGGAAUGAGGAAGAAUCUUGAGAGGCCAUGAACAUAGACUUUUGCAAAGCACUUCAGUUGAGAGAGUGGCAAAUGCCAUCAGCAUUCAAUCUUCUGGACACAGUGGAAUGCCAUUUCUGGCACUGUGAAACAAUCACAGAUUGGUGGGACCACAUAGUGAUGCAGCUAUGGACUGAUCAGCAAUGGCUGCCAAACUUUUGUGUGGGUAAAGCCAUUUUCAUGGAAGUUUAUGAAUUGUUUUCCCCCAUUCUAAAGUGCAAGAAUACCAGAAUGAGACUCCCUCUGGACAGUGAAGAAGUGGCAAUUGCCCUGUGGAAGCUUGCAACUGAAAUAGACAUUAAUGGCUCUUAAAGUUGACAGAACGGGCUUGGUGGUAUGGAUUCAUUGCUUUGAAAAUCGACCUAAUGCAGCUAAGUUCAACCUAAACUCCCAGGGUACUGUCUUGACAGUUAUAGUCCAGAUAUCCAUUGUGUGCACUUCUAAACUGGAUAACCCCUACUGCUCGCAUUUUUCUGUCCAGGGUCUCCUCUGGAGACUUUGCAAUCAUUUGACUAGUGUUUUGCUCAGAUUGUACAUGAAUUCCCACUGCAAACCAAAUGAUACUUCAAUGUACAUGUGGAUAGACAUACACAAACUGCUUUACCCUGAAAUAAACCUAUUUCCCCCUUUUCUGGUGAUCAGUCCUAAGUCACAGUAAUGAAGAACAUAAUUUUCACUGUAUAUACAUAAGCACUACUUUUUUGUGACGGUACUGCCUGGUACUCAGUACCGGCACCUCCAGAUGCAGUGAGAGUGAGAGACAGAGACAGAGACAAAGACAGAGACACAGUGUGCGUGUGUCAGUCAAUGAUUAUGACAUCAGAAACCGUAUGAUGCUUUUUGGUGACCUAAUAUAUAUUUAUACCAGACCCAGGUAUGGAUUCCUAUGCUGUGCCCUCUGCAGUCUGGCAGCAACAGGUCUCUAGAUCACAAUACAGAAAAGAAAAUCCAAAAACCUCCAGAUGGUGCUACACCCACAGCUAUAUCUCUGAUUACUGAUAGGAGGUUCAGACAGAAGAGGAAGAGAAAGAAAAGAACAUGAAUACACAGUGAACAGAACAAAGAAUGAAGCAAGUAGGGAUAAGCCAUUACAGGUUGAACAUCUAGUCUGGCAUCUUCGGGACCUACCAGUGCCGAACCAGAGAACUUGCCAAACCACGGGAGAAGGAAAUGUUCAAUCUUGGGAAGACCUGCUCUGAUGGUGUUACUUCUGUUAUGGGAGGUUCUGAGAGCAAGAGCUGUGCAAACAGGAGGGAUUGUUUUCUAUCUUGGUUUCUGGCUGGAGUUACAUCUUGAGGCAGAAUCCCUGGGAUCCAAGCACUGAUACUGGGCUAAGAUUUCUCACACAAGGGAUUGCCUUGUAUGCUGUUAAUUGCCCAUCUGUGUUUCAAGAUUGGUGUCUAUGUUUACAUAAAACAAAUUAUACUUAGAAUAUACUCAGAUUCAAAUCAAUUAUUUUUACUUCAACAGGAAGCAGACUCUGUAAGGCCCCAAACAUUUGCUAUUGCUCAACAGAAAGGUAAUAAUUAGAGGCGAGGUGGUCUGCAUAUUAAGACCCGCAUUAAUUCUACUUCACCACACAGGUCCAUCUAUGCCAGUUCCAAAAAAUAUCUGAUACUACUACUUGCUUUCUGUCUGAUAAAAAGGUACUGAUUUCAAAAUUUUUCAAUCUAUACUCUUCAACUUAAACAUUUGGGGGGAAAAUUAGCAAUUGCCUUUCUAAACAGAAACAUAAGGGUUCAGAAGCGGAACAAGUACUCCUAUGUUGGAUGCAGCAGAAACUUGCU